rnacentral:rRNA from 1 species
UUCGGGUGCCGACGAGUGGCGAACGGGUGAGUAACGCGUGGAUACCUGUCCUAUGGUGGGGAAUAACGUUUAGAAAUGAACGCUAAUACCGCAUAAGCCCUACGGGGGAAAGAUUUAUCGCCAUAGGAGGGGUCCGCGUCGGAUUAGCUUGUUGGUGGGGUAACGGCCUACCAAGGCGACGAUCCGUAGCUGGUCUGAGAGGAUGAUCAGCCACACUGGGACUGAGACACGGCCCAGACUCCUACGGGAGGCAGCAGUGGGGAAUAUUGCGCAAUGGGGGCAACCCUGACGCAGCGACGCCGCGUGGGUGAAGAAGGCCUUAGGGUUGUAAAGCCCUUUCAGUGGGAAAGAUUAUGACGGUACCCACAGAAGAAGCUCCGGCUAACUCCGUGCCAGCAGCCGCGGUAAUACGGAGGGAGCUAGCGUUGUUCGGAAUUACUGGGCGUAAAGGGCGCGUAGGCGGUUUGACAAG